CCUGAUCUCAGCUCUGGGGGAGGGGAAGAUCCUGACUGAACUGAGAGUGGAACACAGCAGCCUCUCACCUGAGCGUGUGGAGCAGGUCCUCAGUGUUCUCUCCAGACAAAAGUCUGUGGGUAAAGUCCAUCUAUCUGUGAAGACCUUCACUGUCACCACGGCAGCCCUGUGCUUCGACUUCAUUCAGAACACAGAGACGUGCCGUGAGCUGAGGCUUACGGGUAAAUCAAGUCCAUUCUCCUCUCUCACUGUGGACAAAGACUCCAGAAGCCUCAG